rnacentral:tRNA from 1 species
GUGGCUAUGGCUCAGUGGUAGAGUGCUCGCCUAGCACAUGUGAGGCACUGGGUUCGAUCCUCAGCACCACA